rnacentral:rRNA from 1 species
AACGAACGCUGGCGGCAUGCCUAACACAUGCAAGUUGAACGAUGCUUUCGGGCAUAGUGGCGCACGGGUGCGUAACGCGUGGGAAUCUGCCCUUGGGUUCGGAAUAACAGUGAGAAAUUGCUGCUAAUACCGGAUGAUGUCUUCGGACCAAAGAUUUAUCGCCCAGGGAUGAGCCCGCGUAGGAUUAGCUAGUUGGUGGGGUAAUGGCCUACCAAGGCGACGAUCCUUAGCUGGUCUGAGAGGAUGAUCAGCCACACUGGGACUGAGACACGGCCCAGACUCCUACGGGAGGCAGCAGUGGGGAAUAUUGGACAAUGGGCGCAAGCCUGAUCCAGCAAUGCCGCGUGAGUGAUGAAGGCCUUAGGGUUGUAAAGCUCUUUUACCCGGGAUGAUAAUGACAGUACCGGGAGAAUAAGCUCCGGCUAACUCCGUG